rnacentral:rRNA from 1 species
UCUUAUAGCAUGCAUAUUUAUCUGGAACACAAAAACUCUAUGUUUUUGGAAGCUAAGCAGGGCCAGACUUGAUUAGUACUUGGAUGGGAGACCAUCAAGGAAUAGCAGGUGCCAUAGGAU